UAGGGAAUCUUCGGCAAUGGACGAAAGUCUGCCCGAGCAACGCCGCGUGAGUGAAGAAGGUUUUCGGAUCGUAAAACUCUGUUGUUAGAGAAGAACAAGGACGUUAGUAACUGAACGUCCCCUGACGGUAUCUAACCAGAAAGCCACGGCUAACUACGUGCCAGCAGCCGCGGUAAUACGUAGGUGGCAAGCGUUGUCCGGAUUUAUUGGGCGUAAAGCGAGCGCAGGCGGUUUCUUAAGUCUGAUGUGAAAGCCCCCGGCUCAACCGGGGAGGGUCAUUGGAAACUGGGAGACUUGGGUGCAGAAGAGGAGGGGGGAAUUCCAUGUGUAGCGGUGAAAUGCGUAGAUAUAUGGAGGAACACCAGUGGCGAAGGCGGCUCGCUGGUCUGUAACUGACGCUGAGGCUCGAAAGCGUGGGGAGCAAACAGG
rnacentral:rRNA from 1 species